AUGCCUACGGGAGGCAGCAGUGAGGAAUAUUGGUCAAUGGGCUUACGCCUGAACCAGCCAAGUCGCGUGAGGGAAGGCUGCCCUAUGGGUUGUAAACCUCUUUUGUCAGGGAGCAACGCCGGCUACGUGUAGCCGGACUGAGAGUACCUGAGGAAAAAGCAUCGGCUAACUCCGUGCCAGCAGCCGCGGUAAUACGGAGGAUGCGAGCGUUAUCCGGAUUUAUUGGGUUUAAAGGGUGCGUAGGCGGAAUGCCAGGUCAGCGGUAAAAUCGCGGGGCUCAACUUCGCCCCGCCGUUGAAACUGGG
rnacentral:rRNA from 1 species